UAAGGAAUAUUGGUCAAUGGACGCAAGUCUGAACCAGCCAUGCCGCGUGGAGGAUGAAGGUCCUCUGGAUUGUAAACUUCUUUUAUCGGAGAAGAAACCCCAACAUUCUUGUUGGGUUGACGGUACCCGAUGAAUAAGCACCGGCUAACUCCGUGCCAGCAGCCGCGGUAAUACGGAGGGUGCAAGCGUUAUCCGGAUUCACUGGGUUUAAAGGGUGCGUAGGUGGGCUAGUAAGUCCGUGGUGAAAUCUCCAAGCUUAACUUGGAAACUGCCGUGGAUACUAUUAGUCUUGAAUAUUGUGGAGGUAAGCGGAAUAUGUCAUGUAGCGGUGAAAUGCUUAGAUAUGACAUAGAACACCGAUAGCGAAGGCAGCUUGCUACACAAUUAUUGACACUGAGGCACGAAAGCGUGGGGAUCAAACAGG
rnacentral:rRNA from 1 species